AACGAACGCUGGCGGCAGGCCUAAAACAUGCAAGUCGAACGAACCGCAAGGUUAGUGGCGCACGGGUGAGUAACGCGUGGGAAUGUACCUCUGGGUGUGGAACAACGUCGGGAAACUGACGCUAAUACCGCAUAAUAUCUACGGAUCAAAGAUUUAUCGCCCAGAGAUCAGCCCGCGUCUGAUUAGCUAGUUGGUGGGGUAAGAGCUUACCAAGGCGACGAUCAGUAGCUGGUCUGAGAGGAUGAUCAGCCACACUGGAACUGAGACACGGUCCAGACUCCUACGGGAGGCAGCAGUUGGGAAUAUUGGACAAUGGGGGAAACCCUGAUCCAGCCAUGCCGCGUGUGUGAUGAAGGCCUAGGGUUGUAAAGCACUUUCGGCUGUGAAGAUAAUGACAGUAGCAGAAGAAGAAGCUCCGGCUAAAUUCGUGCCAGCAGCCGCAGUAA
rnacentral:rRNA from 1 species